rnacentral:rRNA from 1 species
UACGAAGGGUGCAAGCGUUACUCGGAAUUACUGGGCGUAAAGCGUGCGUAGGUGGUGAGUUAAGUCUGUCGUGAAAGCCCCGGGCUCAACCUGGGAAUUGCAUUCGAGACUGCGUAGCUAGGGUGCGGAAGAGGGAAGCGGAAUUUCCGGUGUAGCGGUGAAAUGCGUAGAUAUCGGAAGGAACACCAGUGGCGAAAGCGGCUUCCUGGUCCAGCACCGACGUUCAGGCACGAAAGCGUGGGGAGCAAACAGG